GCAGGCUGCAACCCGCCUGUAUGAAGUUGGAAUCGCUAGUAAUCGCGGAUCAGCAUGCCGCGGUGAAUACGUUCCCGGGCCUUGUACACACCGCCCGUCACACCAUGAGAGUCGGGAACACCCGAAGUCCGUAGCCUAACCGCAAGGAGGGCGCGGCCGAAGGUGGGUUCGAUAAUUGGGGUGAAGUCGUAACAAGGUAUC
rnacentral:rRNA from 1 species